AUGUGCGUCGUGGAAGGAGACGUAGGGGAACUUGGCGGACUCCCCCACGGCGGCAGAAGAGAUCGGACGCGGUCGGAGAGGCUACCCCGAGCUCGAGCUCGGCCGGAGCAUGGUGGGCAGGGCGACGGCGUGGGCUUGGAGACUCACCUGGAGGCGGAGAGGGAAGAAGAGGAGGGGGAAUCGGUCGAGAGGAGACCCUAG
rnacentral:rRNA from 1 species